rnacentral:rRNA from 1 species
UACAGAGGUCUCUAGCGUUGUUCGGAUUCAUUGGGCGUAAAGGGUGCGUAGGCGGCGAAGUAAGUCAGGUGUGAAAUCUUGAGGCUCAACCUCAAAAAUGCACUUUAUACUGCUUUGCUUGAGAGCUGAAUAGGAGAUUGGAAUUCACGGUGUAGCAGUGAAAUGCGUAGAUAUCGUGAGGAAGACCAGUGGCGAAAGCGAAUCUCUGGGCAGUAUCUGACGCUGAGGCACGAAGGCUAGGGGAGCAAACGGG